CGCACAAUACAACCAUCUCCUCCCCCUUCUCUUGUAAGUAUCGUUGCCUAUCCAGAAGAAUGGUGGAAGACAUAGUGGAGUGGGAGCAUCCUAACACAAAGGAUGUCCUUCGUCCCCAUGUAGAUUUUGAACGAUAUUGAAUUACAGGUAAAUGGUGAAGGAAGGCAAGCCUUUUAUUCAACAGGGAUUGAACAGAGGGCGUGUUGCCUCUUUCGGAUUCGCUGCCAUCAAAUAUUGAUCCAGAGUUCUUCAUUUUACUGAUACCUUUGUUCGUUGACAAGUGUUGCAGUGCUAGUAAUUUGCAAGCAAGCAGGAUUGAUAAUACGAAGAAACUCACUAGUUUUUCUAUUUCUCUCUUGUAUUCGAGGUGUGUUGUCCUCCUAAUUUCUCAUCCAUGCUAAUUUUGUGUUUAGUAAUACGGUCCAACUUGUUUUUAAAAAUGCUUUUUAAACUACUUUUUAUAUGAAAAAACAUCACAUUGAUA